ACAGGUGGUGCAUGGUUGUCGUCAGCUCGUGUCGUGAGAUGUUGGGUUAAGUCCCGCAACGAGCGCAACCCUUGAUUUUAGUUGCCAGCAUUUAGUUGGGCACUCUAAAGUGACUGCCGGUGCAAGCCGGAGGAAGGUGGGGAUGACGUCAAAUCAUCAUGCCCCUUAUGACCUGGGCUACACACGUGCUACAAUGGAUAGUACAAAGGGUCGCGAAGCCGCGAGGUGGAGCUAAUCCCAUAAAACUAUUCUCAGUUCGGAUUGUAGGCUGCAACUCGCCUACAUGAAGCCGGAAUCGCUAGUAAUCGUGGAUCAGCAUGCCACGGUGAAUACGUUCCCGGGCCUUGUACACACCGCCCGUCACACCACGAGAGUUUGUAACACCCGAAGUCGGUAGGGUAACCUUUAUGGAGCCAGCCGCCGAAGGUGGGACAGAUAAUUGGGGUGAAGUCGUAACAAGGUAGCCGUAUCGGAAGGUGCGGCUGGAUC
rnacentral:rRNA from 1 species